GGAGUUAGCCGGUGCUUCUUCUGUGAGUGAUGUCCUUCCUGCCGGCUAUUAACCCGCAGGCCUUCUUCCUCACUGAAAGUGCUUUACAACCCGAAGGCCUUCUUCACACACGCGGCAUGGCUGGAUCAGGGUUGCCCCCAUUGUCCAAUAUUCCCCACUGCUGCCUCCCGUAGGAGUCUGGGCCGUGUCUCAGUCCCAGUGUGGCUGAUCAUCCUCUCAGACCAGCUACGGAUCGUCGCCUUGGUGAGCCGUUACCUCACCAACCAGCUAAUCCGACAUAGGCUCAUCCGAUAGCGCGAGGCCCGAAGGUCCCCCGCUUUCCCCCGUAGGGCGUAUGCGGUAUUAGCCUGGGUUUCCCCAGGUUAUCCCCCACUACCGGGCAGAUUCCUAUGCAUUACUCACCCGUCCGCCGCUCGCCACCAGGGAGCAAGCUCCCCGUGCUGCCGCUCGACUUGCAUGUGUUAGGCCUGCCGCCAGCGUUCAAUCUAAGCCAGGAUCAAACUUGA
rnacentral:rRNA from 1 species